CCGAUCGGUAAAUACGGAGGAAGGUGGGGAUGACGUCAAAUCAUCAUGCCCCUUAUGACCUGGGCUACACACGUGCUACAAUGGUUGGUACAACGAGUUGCGAGUCGGUGACGGCGAGCUAAUCUCUUAAAGCCAAUCUCAGUUCGGAUUGUAGGCUGCAACUCGCCUACAUGAAGUCGGAAUCGCUAGUAAUCGCGGAUCAGCACGCCGCGGUCGAAUACGUUCCCGGGCCUU
rnacentral:rRNA from 1 species